UCCCAACCUCAGCCGCUGAGUCGGCGCGGAGCCGUUGCAGGUGUUGUGGCCUCGGCGGAGGCCGCUUUGGAUAACGGUUGUGCGCGCGGGUUCCUCAUCCCGUGGCUGUCCCCUUCCUCCGCAGCAGGGGCGGGCUUCUGCGGUUCGGCGGGUGGGGGAGGCGGGGUCCCCCCUCUUGUAGGGCGGGCGUGUGGGUCUGUGGUACCCGUUGGAUGCGCUCCCGGAGCCCCGGGCAGGAGGGGGCCGGAGGGAAGCGUCGCCUCGCCGCUGCCUAAGAGGAUUUACUACGUCUCGGACUCCGCCUGGCGCCGGUGCCGCCGCCGCCGCCCCCUGCCGUGUGUGCAGGUCCCCCCGGCGCGCGGGAAGCGGAGAUGGACGAGAAGUACCUGCCUGAGCUGAUGGCGGAGAAGGACUCGCUGGACCCGUCCUUCACCCAUGCGCUGCGGCUGGUGAACCAAGAAAUUGAAAAAUUCCAAAAAGGGGAAGGAAAAGAAGAAGAAAAGUAUAUUGAUGUAGUGAUAAAUAAAAAUAUGAAGCUGGGGCAGAAAGUAUUAAUUCCAGUAAAACAAUUCCCUAAGUUCAACUUUGUGGGAAAACUUUUGGGUCCACGUGGUAAUUCACUGAAACGUUUACAGGAAGAAACAUUGACAAAAAUGUCUAUACUGGGAAAAGGCUCCAUGAGGGACAAAGCCAAGGAAGAAGAGUUGAGAAAAAGUGGGGAAGCAAAAUACUUUCACCUAAAUGAUGAUCUGCAUGUUCUAAUUGAAGUAUUUGCCCCACCAGCAGAGGCAUAUGCCAGAAUGGGACAUGCUUUGGAAGAAAUCAAGAAGUUCCUUAUCCCUGACUACAAUGAUGAAAUCAGACAGGCACAGCUUCAAGAGUUAACAUAUUUGAAUGGUGGUUCAGAAAAUGCAGAAGUUCCAGUUGUUCGUGGAAAACCACCAAUACGAGCACGAGGAGUACCAGUCCCUGCUUUGGCCAGGGGCCGUGGAGGAGUGCCACCCCCAGCAGCAGGUGUACCAAGAGGGGCACCAGCUCCCAGGGGAGUACUUCCCAGUAGAGGUCCAGUCAGUCGUGGUCGUGGACUUCUAGCCCCCCGAGCAAGAGGAGUACCUCCACCUGCAGGAUACCGGCCUCUGCCACCACCUCCAGCGCAGGAGACAUAUGGAGAAUAUGAGUAUGAUGAUGGAUAUGGCACUGCUUAUGAUGAGCAGGGCUACGACUCCUAUGACAACAGCUAUAGCACCCAGGCACAAAGCUACUUCUACAGCUGCCAAAGGUGUUCAUUGCUAAUAAAAGCUUGGAGGCCUACAACAGCAGUCAAAAACAAGGAGUGGAGCCAGUCCCAGCUGAUUCUUGGAACAGAUUACUAUGAUUAUGGACAUGGACUUAGUGAGGAAACAUAUGAUUCUUAUGGGCAAGAAGAAUGGACCAACUCAAGACACAAGGCACCUUCAGCAAGGACAACAAAGGGAAUCUACAGAGACCAGCCAUAUGCCAGAUACUGAUUGUACUGUCUGAUGUUGUGAAAUAUCCAAUCUCCACCAGUCCUGUAUACUGUUCCAAGAAACGCUAAACGUCUUGGGGAGCCAAGAGAACAAAAACCUAAAUCUGUUGAUGCUUUGGGACUUCUGUCGUGAUUAUUAUGGACUGCUUAGACUAUUAUAUUCACCAAUGUGCCUAGUCAACGAUGAAAUCAGCUUUGGAAUUUGAAAAUGCAGUUCUGUUUCUCUUCCAGUAUUUUAUGUACUGUAGUACUAAAGUGUAUCAUAUUCUGUCCUUUAUUUUUAACAACUGCUAUAAAAGCCCUUAAUUGUUUAAUGACCUAACAAUGUUAUUUAUGUAGAAGUCAAUAAAGAAUCUCCAUUUAAAUCUCCAGAACAAAGCAAUAAUGCAUCCUUAUGUUCCUUCAGUGACUUUGUAAUUCCUACACAGCAGCUAUGAGUGAACCUUGUGUGGAGUUUUAUGACUAGACCCAUAGUUCACUUUUGGAAGUGGUUUAUCUACUGUAUGUGCGGCAUGGAAAAGUAAACAUGAAAACAAGUGUGUUACACAGAAGCUAUUGUAUUGCUCAUAGGCUAAGUGUAAACAGAUGUGCCUGAAGCAAGACUGAUUAGUAGAGAGAGAAAAACCCAAUUUCAAUUUCCUUCAGUAAGUUGUUUAUAAAACAUAAAGGUCAUAAUCACUGUGGACUGUAUUAUAUUGGUUUCAGAGUGGUAGCCGUGUUAGUCUGUAUUGCAGAAACAA